AAGGUUUGUCUGCUUUCAUGUCUCACCAUAACUUCAUUAUUUUCCACAAUAAUUAUCAAUAAUCGUUUUGUCCAAAUUUUUGUUUGCAAAGCUUUAAAAAGCAGGAGUAGCCGAUUGGUGGAUAUUAGAACUCCAGUUCUCAGCAAAACAUAUUGAAAGCCCAGCAACAAACUUUACAGGAUCAAAAUCGAAAACUAGAGGUCUAGUUCAUUUCCUGUACGAACAACUGAUUGUUCUGCAGCUUGGGCAAUUCGCGAGUAAAUCAACAAUUUUGCGUUACUGUUUGUAUAUGUUAAUAAAAUGAUUAAAAUUG